UACGGAGGGGGCUAGCGUUGUUCGGAAUUACUGGGCGUAAAGCGCACGUAGGCGGAUAUUUAAGUCAGGGGUGAAAUCCCAGAGCUCAACUCUGGAACUGCCUUUGAUACUGGGUAUCUGGAGUAUGGAAGAGGUGAGUGGAAUUCCGAGUGUAGAGGUGAAAUUCGUAGAUAUUCGGAGGAACACCAGUGGCGAAGGCGGCUCACUGGUCCAUUACUGACGCUGAGGUGCGAAAAGCGUGGGGAGCAAACAGG
rnacentral:rRNA from 1 species